UGUCAUUAAUAAUGUUUACGGAGCGGUGUGAGUUAUGAUUGUGACUUCUCUUUCUGCUUUGAUGUUCAGAAAUGAUGUGGAAUGGCUUAUAAUGUACCAACCGAAUGACAGUGAUCGAAAAGAUUUACUACGGCUCGAACCUAUGAAGAAAAAAAUUAUGUACAAAUGUUUAUACAAAUUAAGAUAUCUACUCAGUGAUUUUUUUUA
rnacentral:ribozyme from 1 species